AACGAACGCUGGCGGCAGGCCUAACACAUGCAAGUCGAACGCCCCGCAAGGGGAGUGGCCGCCGGGUGAGUAACACGUGGGAACCUUCCCUAUAGUACGGAAUAGCCCAGGGAAACUUGGAGUAAUACCGUAUACGCCCGAAAGGGGAAAGAAUUUCGCUAUAGGAUGGGCCCGCGUAGGAUUAGCUAGUUGGUGAGGUAAUGGCUCACCAAGGCGACGAUCCUUAGCUGGUUUGAGAGAACGACCAGCCACACUGGGACUGAGACACGGCCCAGACUCCUACGGGAGGCAGCAGUGGGGAAUAUUGGACAAUGGGCGCAAGCCUGAUCCAGCCAUGCCGCGUGAGUGAUGAAGGCCUUAGGGUUGUAAAGCUCUUUUGGCGGGGACGAUAAUGACGGUACCCGCAGAAUAAGUCCCGGCUAACUUCGUG
rnacentral:rRNA from 1 species